rnacentral:rRNA from 1 species
AUUGAACGCUGGCGGCAUGCUUUACACAUGCAAGUCGAACGGCAGCGAGGAGAAGCUUGCUUCUCUGUCGGCGAGUGGCGAACGGGUGAGUAUAGCAUCGGAACGUGCCAAGUAGUGGGGGAUAACCAACGAAAGUUUGGCUAAUACCGCGUAAGCUCCAAGGAGGAAAGUAGGGGACCUAAUAAGGCCUUACGCUAUUUGAUCGGCCGAUGUCGGAUUAGUUAGUUGGUGGGGUAAUGGCUCACCAAGGCAAUGAUCCGUAGCGGGUCUGAGAGGACGAGCCGCCACACUGGGACUGAGACACGGCCCAG